rnacentral:tRNA from 1 species
GCCGCUUUAGCUCAGUGGCUGAGCACUGGUCUUGUAAAACAGGGCUCGUGAGUUCAAUCCUCACAGGAGGCA